AUGGCUACCUCAAAAUUGGGCCACCAUGGACUUUGCAGUCAUACCGAGUUCCAUAAUUUCCAGGGACUGACUUCUCCAAUCAAACUAGGGAUAAUUUGCAUCCGGAAAUCUACUGUCAUAUCCACUUGCCACUCCACACUGGACCUGUCGCCAGAUAUUUAGGAUGGUCGACUUUUAGAAUUUCCUAAAUGGUCUCCCCUCGUCCCCAUGUGGAAGAGAACUCAAAGCAGAACUCUAAAAAAUUGAGUGUUGUCGGAGGAUCAUCAUCAUGCGGGGAACAAGCUAAGACGUUUUGCGUGUUUUUUUACCCUGAUAAAUAGUCAAUAGAUCGAAAUUUGCUGUACUAGUAUUUAUUUAGUGUACAUAUUUAGUCUAGUAUUUAAUUGAUUAAUUAAUUUAAAAUUAGUUUAUUAAGUCGCAGCGCUUAACAGUUCACAGUACACAACUUAAUUCAAAUUCAAAGUGACAAAGCAAAUUUUAAAAAAUGCACAUUAUAUUUAGCGAGUUUUUCUGCGUCAGGCAGCAUUAUGCAGUUUGCAAUGCUUACAUACAUAAUUAAAUAUCUUAUUCCAGUUUAGUAGAAGGCAGAAUAGUGUCGGUUAGCUUUAGGCGUGAGGGAACGUCCAUAUAUUACCUUGGUGGUUUAGGUCUCCCUAUCUUUCCCAGGCUAAAAUUCCCUAUCCCUUAAUAUAUGUAUGUAUGUACACGUCGGGUGGGUUGGUGUCAAACUCUAGAAUUUUUGAUGACAUAAUAUAUGGAUGGCCCCUGGGUGAUUUACACUUACAAAUGUGUAUUCAAGUUUUUUAACGCAGAAUAGGCAAAUUUGUGCAAAAAUUGAUUUAACAUUUUCCCCGCAACUUUCCCAAGGAUUACCUGCAAAUCUCAGAUCUUCCGUCACACCGCCACAAGAAUAAGCUUUCCCAAGGUAUUUAUUAGCGGGUUACAAAUAAAUUGGCAGGAUCUGCAUAUCUUGGUAUAGGCUUAUUUUUUUAAUUUUUUGUAAAUGUAUUUCAAAAAAUUAACUUUAAAUGAAAAAUUUAAAAUUCGCACGGAAUGUCUGCCUCUUUAAGCAGCGAAGUUUUUAUUUCACUCAGGACAAGUUUAUCUUAAGUGGGAAAAGAUAAAUUGAGGUGCAAAAUAGACAUACUUCGCUUUUAGUUGAUAAGUUGCUUCCGAUCUUGAACUAAAACUGCAUCAAAACUAGCAUUUCCAAGAUAUUAACGGGUCAGUUUUAUGUAAAUAGUUGUUUACUCGGACAUAUGUUUAAUUUAGUUAUGUUUUUGUGGCAAUGUAUUUAACAAAAUUAAUGUCUACACAAAUUUCAAUAAUUUCAACAAUUAUAAACGGUUAUAGGUUUCAAUCGUUAUCUCUAAAAUAUGGUGCUAUUCGCAAGGCCCGUUCAUUCCACGAUAUCAUUCCAAGAUUCCUCCACUACACCGCUAUUAAAGUAAAUCGAUAAUGGUAAAUGGCAUCGAUAAAGGUAAAUAUCGCGACAGCCAUGGAAAAUAUAAGACAGAUUAAAUUAAUUUUGCUAAAGGUACUAAAGUAUUUGGCAAAAUAGUUGGUACUGAAUAGUAGUU